rnacentral:rRNA from 1 species
CCUACGGGAGGCAGCAGUGAGGAAUAUUGGUCAAUGGGCGUAAGCCUGAACCAGCCAAGUCGCGUGAGGGAUGAAGGUUCUAUGGAUCGUAAACCUCUUUUAUAAGGGAAUAAAGUGUGGGACGUGUCCUAUUUUGUAUGUACCUUAUGAAUAAGGAUCGGCUAACUCCGUGCCAGCAGCCGCGGUAAUACGGAGGAUCCGAGCGUUAUCCGGAUUUAUUGGGUUUAAAGGGUGCGUAGAUGGCUUGUUAAGUCAGCGGUGAAAGUUUGUGGCUCAACCGUAGAAUUGCCGUUGAAACUGGCAGGCUUGAGUAUGUUUGAGGCAGGCGGAAUGCGUGGUGUAGCGGUGAAAUGCUUAGAUAUCACGCAGAACCCCGAUUGCGAAGGCAGCCUGCCAAGCCGUGACUGACGCUGAUGCACGAAAGCGUGGGGAUCAAACAGGAUUAGAUACCCCGGUAGUC